AUUGAACGCUGGCGGUAUGCUUAACACAUGCAAGUCGAACGGUAACAGCAGAGCUUGCUCUGGCUGACGAGUGGCGGACGGGUGAGUAACGCGUGGGAAUCUACCUAGUAGCGGGGGAUAACAUGGAGAAAUCCAUGCUAAUACCGCAUACGCCCUACGGGGGAAAGGAGGGGAUCUUCGGACCUUCCACUAUUAGAUGAGCCCGCGUCGGAUUAGCUUGUUGGUGAGGUAAUGGCUCACCAAGGCGACGAUCCGUAGCUGGUCUGAGAGGAUGAUCAGCCACACUGGGACUGAGACACGGCCCAG
rnacentral:rRNA from 1 species